rnacentral:rRNA from 1 species
GACAGAGGAGCCAAGCGUUGUCCGGAUUGACUGGGCGUAAAGCGCACGCAGGCGGAACGGCGCGUGGGGUGUGAAAGCUGGCGGCUUAACUGCCAGUCGCCAUCCCAUACGGCCAUUCUCGGAGCCUUGCAGAGGCAGUGGAAUUGCCGGUGUAGUGGUGAAAUGCGUAGAGAUCGGCAGGAACACCCAAGGGGAAACCAGCUGCCUGG